rnacentral:tRNA from 2 species
GGGCAGAUGGUAGAGCGGUCAAUUACAACAGACUGUAAAUCUGUCGGCUUCGGCCUACGGGGGUUCGAUUCCCUCUCUGCCCA